rnacentral:rRNA from 1 species
ACUCCUACGGGAGGCAGCAGUAGGGAAUCUUCCGCAAUGGGCGAAAGCCUGACGGAGCAACGCCGCGUGAGUGAUGAAGGUCUUCGGAUCGUAAAACUCUGUUAUUAGGGAAGAACAAACGUGUAAGUAACUGUGCACGUCUUGACGGUACCUAAUCAGAAAGCCACGGCUAACUACGUGCCAGCAGCCGCGGUAAUACGUAGGUGGCAAGCGUUAUCCGGAAUUAUUGGGCGUAAAGCGCGCGUAGGCGGUUUUUAAGUCUGAUGUGAAAGCCCACGGCUCAACCGUGGAGGGUCAUUGGAAACUGGAAAACUUGAGUGCAGAAGAGGAAAGUGGAAUUCCAUGUGUAGCGGUGAAAUGCGCAGAGAUAUGGAGGAACACCAGUGGCGAAGGCGACUUUCUGGUCUGUAACUGACGCUGAUGUGCGAAAGCGUGGGGAUCAAACAGGAUUAGAUACCCUGGUAGCUACGAGU